rnacentral:rRNA from 1 species
UACUCCCGCCGGCGACCGGCGCACGGGUGAGUAACACGUAUGAAACCUGCCCGUAGCAGGGGGAUAAGCGGAAGAAAUUCCGUCUAAUACCGCGUAACAACCCGAGGAGGCAUCUCCUCGGGUUUAAAGGAAGCGAUUCCGGCUACGGAUGGUCAUGCGUCGCAUUAGCUAGUUGGCGGGGUAACGGCCCACCAAGGCGACGAUGUCUAGGGGUUCUGAGAGGAAGGUCCCCCACACUGGUACUGAGACACGGACCAGACUCCUACGGAAGGCAGCAG